AGUGGUUGAUAAAAAUGUCUCAAAUACCUCAAAUUAUUGAAGUUCCAACCUUCUCUGAAGAAGCUCAGACAUUUUUGCAUGACUUGAUUGAUGGAUUUAGUAUGAAUGAUGCCUUGGAAGUUAAGAAGAUCGAGAGAGUCACAAACCAUGAUGUGAAAGCAGUGGAAUACUUCUUGAAACAAAAAUGCCAAUCACAUCCAGAGAUAUCUAAGGUACUCGAGUUUUUUCACUUUGCAUGUACAUCUGAGGACAUCAACAAUCUCGCCCAUGCAUUAAUGCUGAAAGGAGCUUUGAACACGGUCAUCUUGCCAGUCAUGGAUGAAUUGAUUAAAGCAAUUUGUGACAUGGCCACAACACAUUCUUCUGUUCCUAUGCUUUCUCGCACCCAUGGGCAGCCAGCUUCACCGACAACCCUUGGAAAGGAAAUGGCAAUUUUUGCUUAUCGAUUGAGUAGGGAAAGAAAGGAGAUUUCUCAAAUUGAGAUGCUUGGGAAAUUUGCUGGUGCUGUAGGAAACUACAAUGCACAUGUAGCUGCAUAUCCUGAAAUAAACUGGCCAGAAAUUGCAGAGGAGUUUGUCUUGUCACUUGGAUUAGAAUUCAAUCCGUAUGUUCCUCAGAUUGAAACUCAUGACUAUAUGGCCAAACUUUUUCACUCGAUCGUCCAGUUUAACAACAUUUUGGUUGAUUUUGAUAGAGAUGUUUGGGGAUACAUUUCUCUGGGUUACUUUAAACAGACAACUAAAGCUGGUGAAAUUGGGUCCUCGACAAUGCCUCACAAAGUAAAUCCAAUUGACUUUGAAAAUAGUGAAGGCAAUCUUGGAGUAGCUAAUGGAGAUUUAUCUCAUUUGAGCACUAAACUACCUAUUUCACGCUGGCAGAGGGAUUUGACAGAUUCAACUGUUCUGAGAAACAUGGGAGUAGGACUAGGGCAUUCUCUUCUUGCUUAUAGAAGUGCAUUACAGGGAAUUCAGAAGCUUCAGGUGAAUGAAGCUGCUCUGAUGGAAGAUUUAGACAAAACAUGGGAGGUUCUUGCUGAACCAAUACAAACGGUGAUGCGAAGGUACGGUGUGCCAGAACCUUAUGAGAAGCUGAAGGAGUUAACCCGAGGAAGAGCGGUGAACAAAGAAAGCAUUAGAGAAUUCAUACAAAAGUUGGACAUACCAGCUGAUGCAAAGACAUCUCUCUUGAACUUAACGCCUCAUACUUACGUUGGAGCAGCUGCAGAAUUGGCUAACAACGUUAACGAGGCCAUAUUUCUGUUGAGUAGUCCAUAUCUUUUGAAAUGAGAGCUGAAGAACCUUGCAGCCCUCUGCAUCGAUGGCGUAUGGAGCAUACAGUCAACGGGUUCAAACUGAAUCCAAGUACAGAUUAUAUGUGAAAAGUCACUAAAAUUUCAAGAAGUUCUUGAAUUUUGAUCACCUAAUUUCAGAAGAGAUGCAUUCAGCUGCAAGAACCUAAAUGUUCACUUCGUCAAAU
rnacentral:misc_RNA from 1 species